CCUACGAGUGGCAGCAGUGAGGAAUAUUGGUCAAUGGACGGAAGUCUGAACCAGCCAUGCCGCGUGCAGGAAGACGGCUCUAUGAGUUGUAGACUGCUUUUGUACAAGGGUAAACCUGAAUACGUGUAUUCAGCUGAAAGUACUGUACGAAUAAGGAUCGGCUAACUCCGUGCCAGCAGCCGCGGUAAUACGGAGGAUCCAAGCGUUAUCCGGAUUUAGUGGGUUUAAAGGGUGCGUAGGCGGAUUGAUAAGUUAGAGGUGAAAUGUCCGCGCUGAACUCGGGAACUGCCUCUAAUAAUGUUGAUCUAUAGUGUAGAUGCGGUAGGCGGAUUGUCUGGUGUAUCGG
rnacentral:rRNA from 1 species